rnacentral:rRNA from 1 species
GGCUCCUGCAUCAGAAAAGAGAUAAGGGGUCCGGCCUGCCCGGUGAGGUUAUGGCUUUUAACGGCUGCAUUAAUAAGUACUAAGGUAGCACAAUUAGCUUGCCCUUUAAUUGUGGUGCGAUACGUGAAUGGCAAGAAGAGAGUUCAGCUGUCUCGGUGUUGAUGAUAUGAAAAUAUAGUGUAGGUGAAGAUGCCUACAUGACGUAGGGGGAAGAGAAGACCCCGUGGAACUUUAAUGAUAGCCUGUAAAUAAUGAUAAUUUCUGGUAAAAAUGCUUUGUAGUUAAUCGGUAAUAAUUUGGGUGUUCAUAUUAGGCUGGGGCAGCUAGGUAAGCGAAGUAUAUUAUCGAAGGGGCGAUAAAAGCGCGCUUGCUAAUAAGAUCCACUAGAACGGUGAUCUUCGGAAUUAGUUACCCCGGGGGUAACAGGUUAUUCUCGUUGUGUGAGGACGUAUUGACGACGGGGUUUUGGCCC